AUGUUCCGGCUCCGAGAGUCCAUCCUUUCCCAUAUUCUCUCUUCUCCCUCCAAAGCUGCAUUAUCCCCACUCCGCCGCCUGCUCUCCGGCCCCGCGUCGCCCCCAGUUUCCCCGAACCCUAGUAGCUUCGCCGUGGAGGAGUACCUCGUCGGCACCUGCGGCCUCACCCGUCCCCAAGCCCUCAAGGCCUCCAAGAAGCUCUCCCACCUCAACUCCCCGCCAAACCCCGACGCCGUCCUCGCCUUCCUCGCCGGCCUCGGCCUCUCCGGCGCCGAUGCCGCCGCCGUCGUCGCCAAAGAUCCGCACUUCCUCGGCGCCAAAGUGGACAAAACCCUGGCCCCCGUCGUCGCCGGGCUAACCGGCCUCGGCCUGUCUAGUCCCGAGAUCGCUCGCAUCGUCUCGCUCACCCCCGACGGCUUCCGCCGUAGAUCCAUACUCUCCAGGCUGCUCAAGCGCUCGUCCUGCCUGUUGUUUUCGGACCUCGACAAGGUUGUCAAGCCCAAUGUUGUGUUCCUCAGGGAGUGCGGGCUAGGUGAUUCUGAUAUUGCCAAGCUGUGUAUCCAUGGGCCGAGGAUGCUCACCACCAACCCGGAGCGCGUCCGGGCGAUGGUGACAUGCGCCGAAGGUAUAGGCGUGCCCCGUGGCUCUGGGAUGUUCAGAAAAGCCCUACAUGCUGUCGCAUUCCAAAGCAAGGAGAAGAUUGCCGCCAAAGUGGACUACUUGAAAAAUACCUUCAGGUGGUCUGAUGCCGAAGUGAGCAUUGCUGUGCGCAAGUAUCCGGGUGUGCUGAGGAAGUCAAAGGAAUCUCUGAAGCGCAGGUCCGAGUUCUUGUUCUCUGAGGUGGGGCUGGAACCCGUGUACAUUGCUCAUCGACCGGAAAUACUUUCUUAUAACAUGGAGGGCCGACUCGGACCUCGGUACUAUGUUAUCAAGUUUCUCAAGCAAAAUGGACUGCUAGAUUGUGACUUGAGCUUAUAUUCUUCGAUCAAGAUGACUGAGAAGGUAUUUGUGGAGAAGCUCAUAUGCCCUCACAAGGAAGCUGCACCACACCUCGCUGAAGAUUAUGCAGCAGCUUGCAAAGGGGAAGUGCCAACUAAUUUCAGAUUUACAUGA
rnacentral:rRNA from 1 species